UGGUGAAUGUGUAUUGGCGUUCUGCCAUGUUCCCCUGUAUAAGACGGCCAAGUGCUCAGUUUUUGGUCCAUGUUUUAUCUCAUGUGUGCUUUUCUUAUGGGUGUGAGGUCUUUUGUUCUACAAAUCUAUGGAGAAAGCAUCAGGUGAAAAGGUCAUUUAAUUCAUCAAGCUAGUUCUGUGAUUAGUACCCAGCCAGAGGUAACUGCUUAAAACCACCUGAGGAAAACAAGAUGUCAAAG